rnacentral:rRNA from 1 species
CUAACUGGAGGACCGAACCGACUAAUGUUGAAAAAUUAGCGGAUGACCUGUGGCUGGGGGUGAAAGGCCAAUCAAACCGGGAGAUAGCUGGUUCUCCCCGAAAGCUAUUUAGGUAGCGCCUCGUGAAUUCAUCUCCGGGGGUAGAGCACUGUUUCGGCUAGGGGGCCAUCCCGGCUUACCAACCCGAUGCAAACUGCGAAUACCGGAGAAUGUUAUCACGGGAGACACACGGCGGGUGCUAACGUCCGUCGUGAAGAGGGAAACAACCCAGACCGCCAGCUAAGGUCCCAAAGUCAUGGUUAAGUGGGAAACGAUGUGGGAAGGCCCAGACAGCCAGGAUGUUGGCUUAGAAGCAGCCAUCAUUUAAAGAAAGCGUAAUAGCUCACUGGUCGAGUCGGCCUGCGCGGAAGAUGUAACGGGGCUAAACCAUGCACCGAAGCUGCGGCAGCGAACGUAUCACCCAAGACAACUUUACGGAGUUGACGAUUGACGGAGCGAAGCGACGUCAAAGCGUUCAUUAAAGUCGAGUUGGCUUAGGGAUACGUUCGUUGGGUAGGGGAGCGUUCUGUAAGCCUGUGAAGGUGUGUCGUGAGGCAUGCUGGAGGUAUCAGAAGUGCGAAUGCUGACAUAAGUAACGAUAAAGCGGGUGAAAAGCCCGCUCGCCGGAAGACCAAGGGUUCCUGUCCAACGUUAAUCGGGGCAGGGUGAGUCGACCCCUAAGGCGAGGCCGAAAGGCGUAGUCGAUGGGAAACGGGUUAAUAUUCCCGUACUUGGUGUUACUGCGAAGGGGGGACGGAGAAGGCUAUGUUGGCCGGGCGACGGUUGUCCCGGUUUAAGCGUGUAGGUGUGUGUUCCAGGUAAAUCCGGUUCACUUUAACACUGAGGCGUGACGACGAGGCACUACGGUGCUGAAGCAACAAAUGCCCUGCUUCCAGGAAAAGCCUCUAAGCAUCAGGUAACACGAAA